UUUCUACUUCACGGAUUUUGCCUAUCACGGGUUCUUUUUGGAACAUAAUCCCCGCGAAAAACAAGGGUUUAUAUGACUAUUGUUUAAAUGAAACUAAAUUAAGUAAACAUUUUAUUUUAACAUUUUUUACUCAAUUAGCUGUUUGUUUUUCUUGGAAUCUAUUCUUAAAUAUUUCUAAUUACAGUUUUUUUUUUUCUCAGGAUGAUGUCAGCCGAGAAGCAGUGAAAGAGGACUGAACUAAUCGCUUCAAGAUUGUUUUGGUCCUUCCCAAUGAAACACAGGACAACCAAGACCCUGUGGGUCAGUCAUCAACAAUAAUAUCCCACACCUGUUCACGUCGUCUGCAGCUCCAACAGAAAGAAGGCAGAGGCUUGCAAAACAAGGGGAGGCCCUGCACCACCACCUCUGACAAAUGCUGAGGAGAUGGCCCUGAGUCUGAACAGUGGAAGGCCAGUGGCUGAGGGAAUUCCUGCAGGGAGUUCAUCAGAGCCAGUCACUCCCCAGGACACAAGUGCCUUCAUAAAAUGAUGUAGAGGAUGACACACUGUCUGCUUAUACCGACAGACCUAGAGAGAGUGUGGAGGAACAACCGCCGCAGGAUGAGGAGGAGGAGGAAGGUCCAUCAAACUCCUCUGCACGGAUGAACACAGUUCAGUGACGUAUAGUAAAUGCCAGAGUGUUAUUCUAUGGAAUUCAUGUUGAUGAACAGGAUUUAACCCCACACUACUGUAUUUUCAGUUAUCAGUUAAGGAGUUAUAUAGACUUCAUCUUAUUAAAGAAAUAGAGAAAACUGAUAAAGAGAUGUCCUACUUAGAUCGACAGAUCCUUAAGUCAGAUCUGGAAAUUGAGAUCCUAAAACACAAGCUACAGGUAUGGUGUGUAUUGUGAUUGCUGAAUUCUAUAAAGGUUUUGGAUGAAUAUUGAAUUCUUACUGUUGCUUUUCAAUUUGUAGGAAAUAAUGAAGACCAAAUACAUUGUGACUUGAAUUUA